CGAAGACAGAUUAGUUUCACAGUUUAUUUCGGAUCGGACGGCAAUGCUGACUGAAGCCAAGGACAGGAUUAGAACCUAUUCGCAGUUAUGGCGAACAAAGGAUACACAAUUCAUUCGUGGCAACGGCGAUAUCAACAACCCGGAGGACGAUGAUAGCGAGAAUAGAAAAACGACUAAUGACGAUUAUUUAAAAUUAUAAAUAGAAACGGUAACCUUGUAUACAUACAAAAAUGUGAACAACCGGCUGUUUGAAUUCGACGACAAUCGGAGAUUCAAGAAAAGCCGGGUACCGUUGUAACCCUGGCAUUAAGAUAUAGUUCAGUUCGCCGUAUAUUCGAUGUGAGUCGACGCGAUUUUGAUCUCGGGAUUGCCAAUUAUUAUCGUUAAUUGGUUACUGGUUUAUUGUGUUCGAUCAAGUGCUCAACAUUCCAUACGUAGAAUCCUGUGAACAACGAUCCUAUGGGGUUCCUAUAAAUUCUACUGCAUACAGCUGAGAGGAUCUUUGAAUUUGAAGAACGUCCCCAGGCAAGUUACAUAAAUUCAUUCGUCAUACUUUCGAGUGCAGUUUCGUAAGGUGGUUCAGCAUCUGUACGAAAUUAAAGCUCCCGGCAUACCAGCUUCCUCUGAAGUACAUUCAAGUAAAUCUGACGGAUUUCGCCAAUAUGUAUUUACGUGACUGGAUCGAAACGUCAGAAAGGAAAUUGACAUCCUGACACGACAAAUACUGCUAGCAGAGAAAUUCAAAAUACUACAGCUAAAUACAUUUCAAAUAUAAAACAUAUUUAAAGCUCGUAAAAAACAAUUCGUGAAUAAUUA